CUGCUCAGUAACACGUGGACAACCUACCCUAUGGAGGGGGAUAACCCCGGGAAACUGGGGAUAAUACCCCAUAGACUAUAGAUGCUGGAAUGCUUUGUAGUUGAAAGGUCCGCCGCCAUAGGAUGGGUCUGCGGCCGAUUAGGUUGUUGUUGGGGUAACGGCCCAACAAGCCUGUAAUCGGUACGGGUUGUGGGAGCAAGAGCCCGGAGAUGGAUUCUGAGACACGAAUCCAGGCCCUACGGGGCGCAGCAGGCGCGAAAACUUUACAAUGCGGGAAACCGUGAUAAGGGAACUCCGAGUGCCCGUAAAAUCGGGCUGUCCAUCUGUUUAAAUAACAGGUGAAGAAAGGGCCGGGCAAGACCGGUGCCAGCCGCCGCGGUAAUACCGGCGGCUCGAGUGGUGGCCACUAUUACUGGGCUUAAAGCGUUCGUAGCUGGUCUGUUAAGUCUCUGGGGAAAUCUACUGGCUUAACCAAUAGGCGUCUCAGGGAUACUGGCAGACUAGGGACCGGGAGAGGUGAGAGGUACUCCAGGGGUAGGAGUGAAAUCCUGUAAUCCUUGGGGGACCACCUGUGGCGAAGGCGUCUCA
rnacentral:rRNA from 1 species